GGACGCUUGCUAUGUGACGCCACUUGGAAGGGACCCACCUACAGUGGCGGAAGUGGAGUAAGACAUCAUGUUGCCUCAAGUUUAAUUGGAAAUCGCGUGCCUUGUGAAGAAUGGACACUCAGUAGAUGCUUAUUGAUGAACCUGUUGGUUGAGGAUAACUCGCUAACUUUUCUGAGCUUUGUUGGAAAAACUAGACAGGGGUCUCACUAUGUGAUGCAGGAUGAUCUCAAACUCCCUGGCCUCAAGCGAUCCUCCUGCCUUGGUCUCCUAAAGUGCUGGGAUUACAGCAGGUCACUGUAUCUCUAUGCAUUACAGAAAAUGGCUAGUUAAAAACUUGUCAAGAGAUGGGGUUUUACUAUGUUGGAGAAGCUGGUCUCAAACUCCUGGGCUCAAGUCAUCCUCCCGCCUCAGCCUCCCAAAGUGCUGAGAUUACAGACGUUGAGGGCUCAUGACACUCCUGGUGGCCAUAUACGCAGAGGUCAGGGAGAGAAAGGGACCUGUGGGCCAGCACCCUUAUUGGGUCCAGAGAGCUAUCCAAACAAGUUUCCAGCAGGGAAUUUAAUUGGUGGAUUUAAAGCAAGCAGGCAUGAGUUCCAGGGGGCCACACUGACUGAGGUAUGUAUGUAUGUACCAUAGUUUAACUAUUUGCUCAAUGAAAGACAUAUAUUAAUAGUUUCCAGUUUUUGCUGUUAUGAAUA
rnacentral:lncRNA from 1 species